UACGGAGGGUGCAAGCGUUAUCCGGAUUCACUGGGUUUAAAGGGUGCGUAGGUGGGUUGGUAAGUCAGUGGUGAAAUCUCCGAGCUUAACUUGGAAACUGCCGUUGAUACUAUCAAUCUUGAAUAUCGCGUAGGUAAGCGGAAUAUGUCAUGUAGCGGUGAAAUGCUUAGAUAUGACGCAGAACACCAAUUGCGAAGGCAGCUUGCUACACUGUUAUUGACACUGAGGCACGAAAGCGUGGGGAUCAAACAGG
rnacentral:rRNA from 1 species